rnacentral:rRNA from 1 species
GGACCCGCACAAGCGGUGGAGCAUGUGGUUUAAUUCGAUGCAACGCGAAAAACCUUACCUACUCUUGACAUACUUGGAAGCUCUUGUAAUGAGAGUGUGCCUUUUGGAACCAAGAUACAGGUGCUGCAUGGCUGUCGUCAGCUCGUGUCGUGAGAUGUUCCGUUAAGUCGGAUAACGAGCGCAACCCUUACCCUUAUUUGCCAGCGAUUCGGUCGGGAACUAUAAGGGGACUGCCGGUGAUAAACCGGAGGAAGGUGAGGACGACGUCAAGUCAUCAUGGCCCUUACGAGUAGGGCUACACACGUGCUACAAUGGGGAAUACAGACGGACGCUAAGCCGCGAGGUGGUGCUAAUCUUUAAAACCGAUCUCAGUUCGGAUCGCAGUCUGCAACUCGACUGCGUGAAGCUGGAAUC